GGGAAGCAUCGCUGCAGUGUGAAGGUUGACUUACCAUAUAGAAAGAAAGAGUCUUGACUCACAAAGAUCCAGAAAUAUAGCGGGUGAAGUUCUCUACUCCAGUGUGAAGUUUGCUCAGAAAAACAAAGGCAGAAAAGCAGCUGACGAAACCAGCAUAGGGAAUGGAAAUGAUAUCACCUACGCUGCCGUGAAGUUUGAAGAAACUCCAAGUGCCCAGAAACAUGUAGCAGGCAAAGUUGUGGACCCCCAGUCAAGAUUGGCAACUCAGCACAACCAGGAUUAGAAGCAGCAAGCUCCUGAUUGUAUGACUCAGUCUUCACUGCGGCACAGUGCUGUCCUUAUUGGAUGAGUCAUGGGGGACCUCCAGGAUUUUAAAACACUAGUUAGCAUUCAAUUACAUUGUUAUUUUUGUUUGUAUUGCUUGGUGUGUAACUGUACAAACUAGGAAAUCUUCAAUAAUUUAGCAAAUCUUAAUUAAUUUAGCAUCCCAUCAACCUAUGAACUAUAUGGUAACUGUCCUGGGAGACAGUCAACAUGGUUUUAGGAAAGGCAGAUCGUGUCUAACUAACCUGCUU